AUGCAGGAGGGAGAGGGACUGGGCGGCUCUUGGCGAUGGGCCGGCGGGCUGAUCGCGGAGCGCGUCCUCGCCUACGACGUCGCCGACUUUCUCCGCUUCCACGCCGUGUGCCGCUCGUGGCGGCGGUGCUCCGUGGACCCGCACGCGCACGACGGCCUGGACCGCCGCUUCCAUCCCCGGCGGUGGAUCAUGCUCCGGGAGGAACUCGCCGCGCCGGAACGCCGCUGCUUCCUCAACACAUCCACCGGCGAGUGCGUCCAGGUCGACAUCCCGGAGCUCCAUGACCAUAAGUUGCUGGCCGUCACCCCCGAGGGCCUCCUUCUCCUGGUCCACCAACGCAACCACGUCGGCCUCCUCAACCCGCUCACCCGACAACUCACAGAGUUGCCGCCGCUCACCUCACUGCUGCCCUCCAAGUUCAAGGACAUGGGCAUACUUGACGAGAGUAAUGAACUUUUCGACACCGAAUUCAUUGCGUGGGGCUCUGGUGUUGCCAGUGAUGGUUCCACAUUUGUCCUCUGCUUCAACAUGCUUGACCUGCUUGCCACGGCCAAGCCCGGCGACGACCACUGGACGUCGGUAAAGGACAACGGUGAUGGGGCACUGGCAGCCUUAAUGUUUGAGGGACGCUUCUACUGCGUUGACAACAAUGGUGUCAUGGUACUUGAAACUGGAGCAGAUCACCCACCACGCCUGGAGGUGGCUGCCAAGAUGGAUAGCAUUUAUGCCAAGAUGGAAAACAUGGAUGACUCGGAAUUUGAGGAUAAUUUCCACCUUGUCGACAAUUGUGGGGAGCUGAUGCUGGUGCACCGUUGGGGUGGAGUGACAGCCGAGAAUAAAUCGUGUUGUUUUUAUGAUCCGUAUCGAGUGGAUUUGGACAACGGCACACUAUUUCCGGUCAAGAGCUUGGGCGGUAGUGCAGGGUGCGUGGUGUUCAUUGGUAUGCAUAGCUCUCUCUCGGUGUCUCUGGAUGUUUUCCCCUCUGGAUCAAUAAUCGCCGACACAAUCUACUUGAGCUUUGAUGAUGUUGGUGAGAGAGAAUGGUUAGAAGUUGGAGCAUAUCAUCUCACGGAUGGAAGCGUACAACACCCUUGCACAUAUAGCAGUGGUUUGGUGCCACGGCCUCAUACUCUUGUUGACUGUCUAUCUUUGUCGAAUACUGUCCGAGGACUUACGCCAUUUCCUUGA
rnacentral:rRNA from 1 species